AAUCCCGCUCAGUUUUUUGGUUACCCGCUCGUUACUCCCUCUUCUUCUCAUCUCCCAAAUAAAAGUUUCUACUUGAUUCUUUUUCCGUUUUAAUCUCAAAAUUUGCCCCCAAAUUUCCCAUUUUCAGCAACACCAAGUAAACACACCUACACCAAUCACAUUUCUUUUUCCUUUUCAUUUCACUGGACUGAAUUCACUCACCAUAGCUACUCAUUUUCUCUCGAUCUGUUAGGGUUUCUUUUAAUUUUAGGCUUUCAAGGGAAACAUACAGUUUCCUUUUAAUUUUACUGGUGAUUUCUAUGGAGACGGAAACCCUAGAUGACAAGAAACUGGAGGAAGAGGAGGUGAAAGAGAGACUGAAACUUCCCAUUGAAUAAGAAAUCAAUAGAAGGAAAAAGAAAACAGAUCUUUCUGAAUAAGAAGAAGAAAAAUCGGUACUUUCUUUCCAUUGAAGAACAAGAAGACAAAGAGGAUAUCAAGGGAAAAUGUCAAGAGAAAAUCUAAGAAGAGCUGCACUUCCUCCUGUUCAAGAGAAUAUUGAUAAAUUAGAAAAAGCUAUAAAUGAGGGUAAUUUCUAUGGAGCUCAGCAGAUGUACAAAUCAAUAAGUGCACGAGAAACCGAAGGAAACCUGAAAAACUUAAUGCGGGAAAAAAGGUGAACAGUAGGAAGGCGAGGAAAGAAAAAUUAGGAGACAGAAUUACAGCACUUCACCAGCUUGUUUCAUCAUUUGGGAAGGUUCAUGGAGACUAUGCGAGUUUUGGGUGAUGAGAUCUGCUAUCGUGUUAAAAACUUUGUGUAGGCGUCUUAUCGUAAGUGGUGAGGUCUGAUUUCAUUUUUAUUCAGGAUCCUUGUGAGUACUGGAAGCUAGAUGACACAAUAAUCAAAACCAUCGAGACAGCACCAGAUGAAGAACUCCGAGAAUCUAGAGAUCUGAUUCUGCACAUUCGUAGGAGAAAUUUGUAUCAGGUGGAAAACCUUUGCAUACUUUCACUUCAUUUUUGUGUUUUGAUCAUGGUAGCAUGCAAACAAACAUGCUAUUAUUAUUAUUAUUUAAAUGUGAAAGACGAAACUUACUGUAUACUGUGUUAUUUUCUGUGUUAGUUCUGUAACCAAGAUUUACUUGAUUAAGAAAAUGCAUUGUAUAUUUUAUUACUUUGCA